UACAGGCUAUCCUAACCUUAACCACUCAAGGUCAAUGCCUGACCCAAACCAAUCAAGCUGCUAUUGAAGGGUGGGUCUUGGCGUGGCCAUAGGAGGAAAACAAAUAUGG